CUGAGAACCUAGCACAGCGAAAAUGGAUGGAUGAAGAUAGAAGAUGCCGCUUGGAUGAAAACUUCUGCUGGAUGGAGGACCUCUUCUGCCCCGAUCGGAUGAAGACAUCUGCCGCUCCGGAUGUCCUAUUCUGGCCCAUCGGUGCCUGGCUGGGUGAACACGGCUCAAGGUCCUUUCUUCCUGGACGUCAU